AACAAAUUUAACUUCUUGGUGCCUCAAUUAAUGUAAUUUUAUUAGUAUCUAUUUUUAUUUUGAAAUGUAUCGUUAGCUGCUGCUGCAUUUCCCACCCUUGGCUUAUACUCAAGUCAAUAAGUUUUCCCAGUUUUUUAUGGUAAAAUUAGGUGUCUCGGCUUAUAUUCAGGUCGGCUUAUACUCGAGUAUAUACGGUAUAUUGCUUGUAAUGUUCUGGGAUUUAAUUUUUCAAAUGUCUUUUUUAUUUUGUACUUUGGAUUUUCAGUGACGAGAUUUAUAGCAAAGCUCUUUCAACGUGCCCACAAAUGAAUUCAAAUGGAACCAUUAAAUAUGUGGAAUGUUCUUCUUUGGCUGCCUGGGUUUGUAAAAGGAGUGUGGAUGCCCAAAUGUUUUGGAAAUACCCUGGUUGGAUACUCAUCUUGCCUUUGGGAAACAAAAUGUAUAAUCAUAAAGAACAUGCAGAGUCAGCAUGCUUGUUAGAAGAGAAAUGUACUGGAA
rnacentral:lncRNA from 11 species